GUGUGGCUAGUGUAGUGGUUUGAGCACUGGACUAUGACUGGAGACCAGGGUUCAAAUCCCUGCUUGACCC